GACGAACGCUGGCGGCGUGCCUAAUACAUGCAAGUCGAACGCAGUGGGGACGGGUGAGUAACACGUGGGUAACCUCCCAUCAGAGGGGAAAACACUUGGAAACAGGUGCUAAACCGAUACUGAUGGAUGGACACCCGGUGCAUUAGCUAGUUGGUGAGGUAACGGCUCACCAAGGCCACGAUGCAUAGCCGACCUUGAAUGGUGAUCGGCCAGACGGGGACGGAGACACGGCCCAGACUCCUACGAGAGUCAGCAGUAGGGAAUCUUCGGAAAUGGACGAAAGUCUGACAGAGCAACGCCGCGUGAGUGAAGAAGGUGUUCGGAUCGUAAAACUCUGUUGUUAGAGAAGCGGUAUCUAACCAGAAAGCCACGGCUAACUACGUGCCAGCCGCGGCGGGAAUUC
rnacentral:rRNA from 1 species